rnacentral:pre_miRNA from 1 species
UGCUAUAAAGUGCUCUGACUUUAUUGCACUACUGUACUCUACAGCUAGCAGUGCAAUAGUAUUGUCAAAGCAUCUGGUAGCAGA